rnacentral:lncRNA from 1 species
UUAGUGUUCACAUACAGCUUGGGCCCAAAAAAGCUGAACUGCAAAGAAGCCGUACUUUGCUGCUUUCGUUGUGGGCCAAGGGGUAGAUCACUGAACACAGGGGCCCAUUGUCUCGGUAACUGGAAUUCCAAAAACUGAUGAAGCUCUUCGAUUGGUGGUUUAUCUCGUAAAUAGAGGUUUAUGGCAUGACUUAAGUAACCAGAUCCGGAAACACCAUUCAGCAAUGAAGUGAUUGGAACGAAAGACAUUGUGAUGACAUCAGGCUCUAACUGUACGCUAUGCAACCACUCGUUAUGUUUAAGGUUCCUAUCAUCAUUCCCACCUCUCCUUUUGCA